rnacentral:rRNA from 1 species
AACAUGUCUUUUUGAUUAUAAUUUAAAGUCGGAUCUGCUCCAUGAUUAAUUUAAAUUAAAUAGCUGCAGUAUUUUGACUGUACAAAGGUAGCAUAAUCAAUAGUUUUUUAAUUAAAAGCUGGUAUGAAUGAUUUGAUAAGGUAAAUUUUGUCUCGAGUUUAAUAAUAUUAGAAUUUUUUUUUUAGUUAAAAAGCUAAAUUUAAUUUAAAAGACGAGAAGACCCUAUAGAUUUUUAUAUUAUAAAGUUUGAUUAAAAUUAAUAUAUUUAUUUAAUAAAUUUUAUAAUAUUUAAUUGGGGUAAUUGUUAAAUUAAAUAAAUUUUAAUGGUUAUUUUAUAUAGAUAAAUAAAUAAUUGAAUUUUAAUAUUGAAAUUAAGAGAAUAAAUUACCUUAGGGAUAACAGCGUAAUUUUUUUAGAGAGAUCAUAUUGAUAAAAAAGUUUGCGACCUCGAUGUUGAAUUAAGAUUAAAUUUAAAUGCAAAAGUUUAGAAUUUUUGGUCUGUUCGACCAUUAAAAUCUUACGUGA